UCUAAGGGCGUUGAAGCAUGAUCGUAAGGACAUGUGGAGCGCUUAGAAGUGAGAAUGCCGGUGUGAGUAGCGAAAGACGGGUGAGAAUCCCGUCCACCGAUUGACUAAGGUUUCCAGAGGAAGGCUCGUCCGCUCUGGGUUAGUCGGGUCCUAAGCUGAGGCCGACAGGCGUAGGCGAUGGAUAACAGGUUGAUAUUCCUGUACCACCUAUAAUCGUUUUAAUCGAUGGGGGGACGCAGUAGGAUAGGCGAAGCGUGCGAUUGGAUUGCACGUCUAAGCAGUAAGGCUGAGUAUUAGGCAAAUCCGGUACUCGUUAAGGCUGAGC
rnacentral:rRNA from 1 species